AAAUUGAAGAGUUUGAUCAUGGCUCAGAUUGAACGCUGGCGGCAGGCCUAACACAUGCAAGUCGAGCGGUAGCACAGAGAGCUUGCUCUCGGGUGACGAGCGGCGGACGGGUGAGUAAUGUCUGGGAAACUGCCUGAUGGAGGGGGAUAACUACUGGAAACGGUAGCUAAUACCGCAUAACGUCGCAAGACCAAAGUGGGGGACCUUCGGGCCUCAUGCCAUCAGAUGUGCCCAGAUGGGAUUAGCUGGUAGGUGGGGUAACGGCUCACCUAGGCGACGAUCCCUAGCUGGUCUGAGAGGAUGACCAGCCACACUGGAACUGAGACACGGUCCAGACUCCUACGGGAGGCAGCAGUGGGGAAUAUUGCACAAUGGGCGCAAGCCUGAUGCAGCCAUGCCGCGUGUGUGAAGAAGGCCUUCGGGUUGUAAAGCACUUUCAGCGGGGAGGAAGGCGAUAAGGUUAAUAACCUUGUCGAUUGACGUUACCCGCAGAAGAAGCACCGGCUAACUCCGUGCCAGCAGCCGCGGUAAUACGGAGGGUGCAAGCGUUAAUCGGAAUUACUGGGCGUAAAGCGCACGCAGGCGGUCUGUCAAGUCGGAUGUGAAAUCCCCGGGCUCAACCUGGGAACUGCAUUCGAAACUGGCAGGCUAGAGUCUUGUAGAGGGGGGUAGAAUUCCAGGUGUAGCGGUGAAAUGCGUAGAGAUCUGGAGGAAUACCGGUGGCGAAGGCGGCCCCCUGGACGAAGACUGACGCUCAGGUGCGAAAGCGUGGGGAGCAAACAGGAUUAGAUACCCUGGUAGUCCACGCCGUAAACGAUGUCGACUUGGAGGUUGUGCCCUUGAGGCGUGGCUUCCGGAGCUAACGCGUUAAGUCGACCGCCUGGGGAGUACGGCCGCAAGGUUAAAACUCAAAUGAAUUGACGGGGGCCCGCACAAGCGGUGGAGCAUGUGGUUUAAUUCGAUGCAACGCGAAGAACCUUACCUGGUCUUGACAUCCACAGAACUUUGCAGAGAUGCUUUGAGAAUGUGCCUUCGGGAACUGUGAGACAGGUGCUGCAUGGCUGUCGUCAGCUCGUGUUGUGAAAUGUUGGGUUAAGUCCCGCAACGAGCGCAACCCUUAUCCUUUGUUGCCAGCGGUCCGGCCGGGAACUCAAAGGAGACUGCCAGUGAUAAACUGGAGGAAGGUGGGGAUGACGUCAAGUCAUCAUGGCCCUUACGACCAGGGCUACACACGUGCUACAAUGGCGCAUACAAAGAGAAGCGACCUCGCGAGAGCAAGCGGACCUCAUAAAGUGCGUCGUAGUCCGGAUUGGAGUCUGCAACUCGACUCCAUGAAGUCGGAAUCGCUAGUAAUCGUGGAUCAGAAUGCCACGGUGAAUACGUUCCCGGGCCUUGUACACACCGCCCGUCACACCAUGGGAGUGGGUUGCAAAAGAAGUAGGUAGCUUAACCUUCGGGAGGGCGCUUACCACUUUGUGAUUCAUGACUGGGGUGAAGUCGUAACAAGGUAACCGUAGGGGAACCUGCGGUUGGAUCACCUCCUUACCUUAAAGAA
rnacentral:rRNA from 1 species